rnacentral:lncRNA from 1 species
CAGCGUUCCGGGGGCGGGCCUGAUUCGAGGCCACGCCCCGUGAGCCUUUCUUUGGCCCUACCACUUCCAAACCCAGGAUUUGAACCCAGCCAAGUUUUCAUUGCCUUCCUAGCUAGGUGCUGGUCUCCCAGGGAAACGUAACUUGGAAGGCAGGACUAAAUUCAAACGGGGCGGUCUCAGAGAUGUUGGGAGGGUGCAGUGAGAUCACCCAUGCAAAGCGAUUAGCCCAGGGCCUGAAAUGGAGUAAUCGCUCCACCACCACCGCUGUCAGUGAGUGUGGAGAAGGAACUGGGCGUGGCUCGGAAGUCAUGAGUUCUAGUCCCACUAAGUCCACAUUCAUUCCUCGUGUGUUGCCAGGAAAGUCCUUUCCUGUCUAUCUAUAUUUCCUACUUUCACCUUCUUUAACAUGGGAAUCAGCAGAGGCCAGAUGGUAUCAAAAAGUCCCACCAACGCCUUCCAUGUGCAAAGUGCAAGGGCCCAGAGAGGGGCAAAAGGACUUUGAAGAUAGCCCAGGACCCACACCCAGCAGACUACAGUCGGAGAAGACAUUCUCUCUCUGUGGACACCCUCCCACGCGCUGGCACCCAGCAGCCUGCACAAGCCGGGACACAGAUGGCUAAAGGCGGCUUCCUCUCUGACUGCAGCAAUAUGGUUGGUCUCUGGAGACACCUCUUGUGAACUUUCAAAAAAAAAAAGAAGAAAAGACCUGACUUAACGAUAAGAAGGGAGAAAGUUCAUGAAAAUACAGCUGCAAGACACUUACACAGAGAGGAUCUGUGCCAGCUAUGUAUAGUGCCAUAGAAAGUCUCAAAGGUAACUGGGUGUGGUAUUACAUGCCUAUAAUUCCAGCACUCCAGAGGCAGAGGCAGGAGGAUCAACUCAAAGUCAACCUGAGACGCAUAGCAUAAGACCCCUUUUCUAGGGGGAGGAGGGGUGGGAGAAGGAGCUGGGAUUGAUAUGUGAAGCAUAUUUGUUUCUAAGUUAAAUAAAAGUAAAUUAUAAAAAACUAAAAAAUAAAUUAAAAAGAAGACCCCUUUUCUAAAAUAAAAUAUGAAAAGUUUCUACAAAUCCCAUCUCAUUUUCUG